rnacentral:rRNA from 1 species
AAACGUAGGAGGCGAGCGUUAUCCGGAUUUACUGGGCGUAAAGCGCGUGCAGGCGGUGAUGCAAGUUGGGCGUGAAAUCUCCUGGCUUAACUGGGAGGGGUCGUCCAAAACUGCAUGACUUGAGGGCAGGAGAGGGAAGCGGAAUUUCCGGUGUAGCGGUAAUAUGCGCAGAUAUCGGAAGGAACACCAGUGGCGAAGGCGGCUUCCUGGUCUGUACCUGACGCUGAGACGCGAAAGCCAGGGGAGCGAACGGGAUUAGAUACCCCGGUAGUCCUGGCCGUAAACGAUGGAUACUAGGUGUGGGCGGUAUUGACCCCGCCUGUGCCGAAGCCAACGCGUUAAGUAUCCCGCCUGGGGAGUACGACCGCAAGGUUAAA